AUGCCACUGUCUAUUGUCUCCAAUUGCGAUCGCAUCUUUACUAGCCUUUUCUGGAAGGUGCUCUUUCGUAAAUCGGGUAUUUUGCUUCGCAUGAGCUCUGCUCGCCAUCCCCAAUCAGACGAACAAACAGAGCGUGUUAACCAGCAAGUGGAAUGCUUUCUUCGCUAUUUUGUCAGCGCUCACCCCUCUCGGUGGGCUCAAUGGAUACCACUAUGUGAGUUUUGGUACAAUACUAAUUGGCAUUCAGCUACAAGUGCUACUCCUUUUGAAAUCAUAUAUGGCCAUCCUCCACGCCACUUUGGUCUGACAACUGAUGACACGAUCCAGUCUCAAGAUCUUCAGCAAUGA
rnacentral:rRNA from 1 species